rnacentral:rRNA from 1 species
CCCUUAGAUGUUCUGGGCUGCACGCGCGCUACACUGAUGCACUCAACGAGUUUACGACCUUGCCCGAUAGGGUUGGGUAAUCUUUUUAAAAUGCAUCGUGAUGGGGAUAGAUUAUUGCAAUUAUUAAUCUUCAACGAGGAAUUCCUAGUAAGCGCGAGUCAUCAGCUCGUGCUGAUUACGUCCCUGCCCUUUGUACACACCGCCCGUCGCUCCUACCGAUUGAGUGCUCAGGUGAAUAAUUCGGACUGCAGCAGUGUUUGGAUCCCGAACGUUGCAGCGGAAAGUUUAGUGAACCUUAUCACUUAGAGGAAGGAGAAGUCGUAACA